rnacentral:rRNA from 1 species
GACGAACGCUGGCGGCGUGCUUAACACAUGCAAGUCGAACGGAAAGGCCCUGCUUUUGUGGGGUGCUCGAGUGGCGAACGGGUGAGUAACACGUGAGUAACCUGCCCUUGACUUUGGGAUAACUUCAGGAAACUGGGGCUAAUACCGGAUAGGAGCUCCUGCUGCAUGGUGGGGGUUGGAAAGUGUCGGCGGUUGGGGAUGGACUCGCGGCUUAUCAGCUUGUUGGUGGGGUAGUGGCUUACCAAGGCUUUGACGGGUAGCCGGCCUGAGAGGGUGACCGGCCACAGUGGGACUGGGAUACGGCCCAGACUCCUACGGGGGGAAGGAGUGGGGAAUAUUGCACAAUGGGCGGAAGCCUGAUGCAGCAACGCCGCGUGGGGGAUGACGGCCUUCGGGUUGGAAACCGAUUUCGCCUGUGACGAGGCGUGAGUGACGGUAAUGGGGAAAGAAGCACCGGCUAACUACGU